AUACUACUUUGCAUUUCUGAAGAGGGAAGAAGAAAUCAAUGUGCAAAUUCAAUUCCAUGGUUUUGGAAGUCCCAUUGAGAACACGAUUCAUUUGCGCCGGCAUAAUGCUCUGACCGAGAAAGAAUUGAAGAACCAUACGAUUAGUCUGUUUUGAUGAGGAAUUUAAAGAUUAUGUGUCCCAUCCGUUUGAUUCACCGUUUGGUACCAUAGGUUGGUACGAUCUUCGUUCGAGAAGGAAAAGGGAUGUUCCAGAUACAGAAAAUCGUCAAACCAUUUACUACAAAGUCCGUUUCUGGGUGGAGUUAGUGGAACCGAAAAAGAUGUCUCCCUCACAGCGUUUGUGACAAAAGAAUUGCAUCGUUCCUUGGCGGCCUUUCAACAGAAGAAUAUUCAGAGAUUUCCCGAGUGAUUCUUAUGUUGGUUCCCGGAAAGCCUCCAUUGUUGGAGGACGAGAAGCCGUAUCCAAUUGAAGCAGCACAGGCUUCUGCGAUGACUGUGGAAACCACUGCUUAUGCCUUGCUUCAAGCAUUGUCAAGGAACGAUAUUGACUAUGCAACACCGAUUGUGAGGUGGCUAACGAUGCAACAGAACUAUGGUGGUGGAUUUCACUCGAUGCAGGACACAAUCAUUGCCUUGGAAGCUUCAUCACGAUACGACAUUGCAUUUCUGAAGAGGGAAGAAGAAAUCAACAUGCAAAUUCAAUUCCAUGGUUUUGGAAGUCCCAUUGAGAACACGAUUCAUUUGCGCCGGCAUAAUGCUCUGACCGAGAAAGAAUUGAGGUAAUUGCAUGACAGUUUGACUGGUUCGUUGAGAGUGAGGAACCUAUGGACUCUCAGACACCAAGAUGGAAUUUAGUUCAAAGAGUGACUUCAAAAUGUUCCGCAAGUUUUAGCGUAAACUGGUGGAGACUUUCGGUGCUUGCAAAAAGGCUCACCUCUCCGUUCAUACCGAAGGAAAAUGGGAGUUUAAAAAACCAUACGAUGAGACUGUUUUGAUGAGGAAUUUAAAGAUUACGAGUCGUGUCCGUUUGACUCACAGUUUGGUACCAUAGGUUGGUACGAUCUUCGUUGGAGAAGGAAAAGGGAUGUUCCAGAUCCAGAAAAUCGUCAAACCAUUUACUACAAAGUCCGUUUCUGGGUGGAGUUAGUGGAACCGAAAAAGAUGUCUCUCUCACAGCGUUUGUGACACAAGAAUUGCAUCGUUCCUUGGCGGCCUUUCAACAGAAGAAUAUUCAGAGAUUUCCCGAGUGAUUGUGAUGUCGGUUCCUGGAAAGCCUCCAUUGUUGGAGGACGAGAAGCCGUAUCCAAUUGAAGCAGCACAGGCUUUUGCGAUGACUGUGGAAACCACUGCUUAUGCCUUGCUUCAAGCAUUGUCAAGGAA